UACGAAGGGGGCUAGCGUUGCUCGGAAUUACUGGGCGUAAAGGGCUCGUAGGCGGCCAACUAAGUCAGACGUGAAAUCCCUCGGCUUAACCGGGGAACUGCAUCUGAUACUGGAUGGCUUGAGUUCGGGAGAGGGAUGCGGAAUUCCAGGUGUAGCGGUGAAAUGCGCAGAUAUCAGGAGGAACACCGGUGGCGAAGGCGGUUCUCUGGGCAUUACCUGACGCUGAGGAGCGAAAGUGUGGGGAGCGAACAGG
rnacentral:rRNA from 1 species